UCAAGUAAUUAAGUGCAUGUGGUGGAUGCCUUGGCAGUCAGAGGCGAUGAAAGACGUGAUAGCCUGCGAAAAGCUCCGGGGAGGCGGCAAAUAUCCUUUGAUCCGGAGAUGUCUGAAUGGGGGAACCCACCUACUUUAAGGUAGGUAUUGCAACAUGAAUACAUAGUGUUGCAAGGCGAACGAGGGGAAGUGAAACAUCUCAGUACCCUUAGGAAAAGAAAUCAAUUGAGAUUCCCUCAGUAGCGGCGAGCGAACGGGGAUCAGCCCAUUAAGUUAUGUGUGUUUUAGUGGAACGCUCUGGGAAGUGCGAACGUAGAGGGUGAUAUUCCCGUACACGAAAGGGCACACAUAAUGAUGACGAGUAGGGCGAGGCACGUGAAACCUUGUCUGAAUAUGGGGGGACCAUCCUCCAAGGCUAAAUACUCCUGACUGACCGAUAGUGAACCAGUACCGUGAGGGAAAGGCGAAAAGAACCCCUGUGAGGGGAGUGAAAUAGAUCCUGAAACCGCAUGCAUACAAGCAGUGGGAGCACCUUCGUGGUGUGACUGCGUACCUUUUGUAUAAUGGGUCAGCGACUUAUAUUCAGUAGCGAGGUUAACCGUAUAGGGGAGCCGUAGAGAAAUCGAGUCUUAAUAGGGCGUUUAGUUGCUGGGUAUAGACCCGAAACCAGGCGAUCUAUCCAUGAGCAGGUUGAAGGUUGGGUAACACUAACUGGAGGACCGAACCCACUGUCGUUGAAAAGCCAGGGGAUGACUUGUGGAUAGGGGUGAAAGGCUAAUCAAGCCUGGUGAUAGCUGGUUCUCCCCGAAAGCUAUUUAGGUAGCGCCUCGGACGAAUACCAUAGGGGGGUAGAGCACUGUUUCGGCUAGGGGGGUCAUCCCGACUUACCAAACCGAUGCAAACUCCGAAUACCUAUGAGUACUAUCCGGGAGACAGACUGCGGGUGCUAACGUCCGUAGUCAAGAGGAAAACAAUCCAGACCGCCAGCUAAGGCCCCAAAAUCAUAGUUAAGUGGGAAACGAUGUGGGAAGGCAUAGACAGCUAGGAGGUUGGCUUAGAAGCAGCCACCCUUUAAAGAAAGCGUAAUAGCUCACUAGUCGAGUCGGCCUGCGCGGAAGAUGUAACGGGGCUAAAACUAUGUGCCGAAGCUGCGGAUGUAUACUUUGUAUACAUUAGUCAAGUGGUAGGGGAGCGUUCUGUAAGCCGAUGAAGGUGUGUUGAGAAGCAUGCUGGAGGUAUCAGAAGUGCGAAUGCUGACGUGAGUAACGACAAAACGGGUGAAAAACCCGUUCGCCGAAAGACCAAGGGUUCCAGUCCAACGUUAAUCGGGGCUGGGUGAGUCGACCCUAAGGCGAGGCCGAAAGGCGUAGUCGAUGGGAAAAUGGUUAAUAUUCCAUUACUUCUGUGUAAUGCGAUGAGAGGACGGAGAAGGCUAAAUCAGCCUGGCGUUGGUUGUCCAGGUGAAAGGAUGUAGGCAUGUAUCUUAGGCAAAUCCGGGGUACUCUAUGCUGAGAUCUGAUAGCAAGCUGUACUUGUACAGCGAAGUGGUUGAUGCCAUGCUUCCAGGAAAAGUCUCUAAGCUUCAGUUACACAGGAAUCGUACCCGAAACCGACACAGGUGGUCAGGUCGAGUAGACCAAGGCGCUUGAGAGAACUCUGCUGAAGGAACUAGGCAAAAUGGUACCGUAACUUCGGGAGAAGGUACGCUGUUGUUGGUGAUGGAACUCGCUUCCUGAGCUGACGACAGCCGCAGAAACCAGGCCGCUGCAACUGUUUAUUAAAAACAUAGCACUCUGCAAACACGAAAGUGGACGUAUAGGGUGUGAUGCCUGCCCGGUGCUGGAAGGUUAAUUGAUGGGGUUAGCGUAAGCGAAGCUCUUGAUCGAAGCCCCAGUAAACGGCGGCCGUAACUAUAACGGUCCUAAGGUAGCGAAAUUCCUUGUCGGGUAAGUUCCGACCUGCACGAAUGGCAUAAUGAUGGCGGCGCUGUCUCCAGCAGAGGCUCAGUGAAAUCGAAAUCGCUGUGAAGAUGCAGUGUACCCGCGGCUAGACGGAAAGACCCCGUGAACCUUUACUGCAGCUUGACACUGAACUUUGACCUUACUUGUGUAGGAUAGGUGGGAGGCUUUGAAGCUGGAACGCUAGUUCCAGUGGAGCCGUCCUUGAAAUACCACCCUGGUAAUGUUGAGGUUCUAACUCUGUCCCGUGAUCCGGGACGAGGACCGUGUCUGGUGGGUAGUUUGACUGGGGCGGUCUCCUCCUAAAGAGUAACGGAGGAGUACGAAGGUGCGCUCAGCGUGGUCGGAAAUCACGCGUAGAGUAUAAAGGCAAAAGCGCGCUUAACUGCGAGACCCACAAGUCGAGCAGGUACGAAAGUAGGUCUUAGUGAUCCGGUGGUUCUGUAUGGAAGGGCCAUCGCUCAACGGAUAAAAGGUACUCUGGGGAUAACAGGCUGAUACCGCCCAAGAGUUCAUAUCGACGGCGGUGUUUGGCACCUCGAUGUCGGCUCAUCUCAUCCUGGGGCUGAAGCAGGUCCCAAGGGUAUGGCUGUUCGCCAUUUAAAGAGGUACGCGAGCUGGGUUUAGAACGUCGUGAGACAGUUCGGUCCCUAUCUACCGUGGGCGCUGGAAAUUUGAGAGGAUCUGCUCCUAGUACGAGAGGACCAGAGUGGACGAACCUCUGGUGUACCGGUUGUGACGCCAGUCGCAUCGCCGGGUAGCUAUGUUCGGAAGGGAUAACCGCUGAAAGCAUCUAAGCGGGAAGCCUACCUCAAGAUAAGAUUUCCCUAGGACUUUAUGUCCUCUAAAGAGCCGUUCGAGACUAGGACGUUGAUAGGUUGGAUGUGGAAGCAUAGUGAUAUGUGAAGCUGACCAAUACUAAUUGCUCGUGAGGCUUGACUA
rnacentral:rRNA from 1 species